rnacentral:rRNA from 1 species
GACAGAGGGUGCAAACGUUGCUCGGAAUUACUGGGCGUAAAGCGCACGUAGGCGGAUUGUUAAGUCGGGGGUGAAAUCCUGGAGCUCAACUCCAGAAUUGCCUUCGAUACUGGCUUUCUAGAGGCUGGAAGAGGUUAGUGGAAUUCCCAGUGUAGAGGUGAAAUUCGUAGAUAUUGGGAAGAACACCAGUGGCGAAGGCGGCUAACUGGUCCAGAUCUGACGCUGAGGUGCGAAAGCGUGGGGAGCAAACAGG